rnacentral:misc_RNA from 1 species
GAUGAAGAACGUAGUGAAAUGCGAUAAGUAGUGUGAAUUGCAGAAUUCAGUGAAUCAUCGAAUCUUUGAACGCACAUUGCGCCCCUUGGUAUUCCAUGGGGCAUGCCUGUUCGAGCGUCAUUUGUACACUCAAGCUUUGCUUGGUGUUGGGUGUUUGUCCCGCGUUGCGCGUGGACUCGCCUUAAAGCGAUUGGCAGCCGGCAUAUUGGCCUUGGAGCGCAGCACAUUUUGCGCUUCUAGUCAUGAAUGUUGGCGUCCAUUAAGCCUAUACAUUUGCUCUUGACCUCGGAUCAGGUAGGGAUACCCGCUGAACUUAAGCAUAUCAAUAAGCGGAGGA